rnacentral:rRNA from 1 species
GACGAACGCUGACGGUGUGCUUUAGACAUGCAAGUCGAACGAGAAAGCCCUUCGGGGUUAGUAAAGUGGCGAACGGGUGAGUAACACGUGGGCAAUCUGCCCCUCGCGGGGGGACAACCGGAGGAAACUCCGGCUAAUACCCCGUAAGUUCAAAGGGAGGCAUCUCUCUUCGAAGAAAGGUAGCUUCGGCCAUCCGGCGAGGGAUGAGCCCGCGGUGCAUUAGCUAGUUGGUGGGGUAACGCCUACCAAGGCGACGANGCAUAGCUGGUCUGAGAGGAUGAUCAGCCACACUGGGACUGAGACACGGCCCAGACUCCUA